rnacentral:rRNA from 1 species
UAUUGGACAAUGGGCGAAAGCCUGAUCCAGCAAUACCGCGUGUGUGAAGAAGGCCUUAGGGUUGUAAAGCACUUUCAAUUGGGAGGAAAACCUGCCGGUCAAUACCCGGUAGCUUGACAUUACCUUUAGAAGAAGCACCGGCUAACUCCGUGCCAGCAGCCGCGGUAAUACGGAGGGUGCGAGCGUUAAUCGGAAUCACUGGGCGUAAAGCGUACGCAGGCGGUUUGUUAAGCGAGAUGUGAAAGCCCCGGGCUCAACCUGGGAACUGCAUUUCGAACUGGCAAACUAGAGUGUGAUAGAGGGUGGUAGAAUUUCAGGUGUAGCGGUGAAAUGCGUAGAGAUCUGAAGGAAUACCGAUGGCGAAGGCAGCCACCUGGGUCAACACUGACGCUCAUUACGAAA